GACGAACGCUGGCGGCGUGCCUAACACAUGCCAGUCGAACGGAAAGGCCCUGCUUUUGUGGGGUGCUCGAGUGGCGAACGGGUGAGUAACACGUGAGUAACCUGCCCUUGUCUUUGGGAUAACUUCAGGAAACUGGGGCUAAUACCGGAUAGGAGCUCCUGCUGCAUGGUGUGGGUUGGAAAGUUUCGGCGGUUGGGGAUGGACUCGCGGCUAAUCAGCUUGUUGGUGGGGUAGUGGCUUACCAAGCCUUUGACGGGUAGCCGGCCUGAGAGGGUGACCGGCGACAUUAGGACUAAGAGACGGACCAGACUCCAACGGGAGGCAGCGGUGGGGAAUAUGGCACAGUGGGCGGGAGCGUGAUACGGCGGCGCCGCGUGCGUGAUGACGGCCUUCGGGUUGUGAACCGCUUUCGCCUGAGACGAAGCGUGAGUGACGGUAAUGGGUAAAGAAGCACCGGCUAACUACGUG
rnacentral:rRNA from 1 species